rnacentral:rRNA from 1 species
AGUUUGAUCCUGGCUCAGGAUGAACGCUGGCGGCGUGCCUAAUACAUGCAAGUCGAACGAAUCUUCUUCGGAAGAUGAGUGGCGAACGGGUGAGUAAUACAUAGGUAACCUGCCCCUGUGCGGGGGAUAACAGGAGGAAACUCCUGCUAAUACCGCAUAGCCAUGAGCACCGCAUGGAGCUCAUGCCAAAUAUCCUUCAGGGGAUAGCGCAGGGAUGGACCUAUGGCGCAUUAGCUAGUUGGCGGGGCAACGGCCCACCAAGGCAACGAUGCGUAGCCGGCCUGAGAGGGCGGACGGCCACAUUGGGACUGAGACACGGCCCAGACUCCUACGGGAGGCAGCAGUAGGGAAUUUUCGGCAAUGGGGGAAACCCUGACCGAGCAACGCCGCGUGAGCGAAGAAGGCCUUCGGGUCGUAAAGCUCUGUUGUAAAGGAAGAACGUCGCAUGCAGGAAAUGGUGUGCGAGUGACGGUACUUUACCAGAAAGCCACGGCUAACUACGUGCCAGCAGCCGCGGUAAUACGUAGGUGGCGAGCGUUAUCCGGAAUCAUUGGGCGUAAAGAGGGAGCAGGCGGCCGCAAGGGUCUGUGGUGAAAGACCGAAGCUAAACUUCGGUAAGCCAUGGAAACCGGGCGGCUAGAGUGCGGAAGAGGAUCGUGGAAUUCCAUGUGUAGCAGUGAAAUGCGUAGAUAUAUGGAGGAACACCAGUGGCGAAGGCGACGGUCUGGGCCGCAACUGACGCUCAUUCCCGAAAGCGUGGGGAGCAAAUAGGAUUAGAUACCCUAGUAGUCCACGCCGUAAACGAUGGUCACUAAGUGUCGGGGGUCAAACCCCGGUGCUGCAGUCAACGCAAUAAGUGACCCGCCUGAGUAGUACGUUCGCAAGAAUGAAACUCAAAGGAAUUGACGGA